CUUGGUUCCUUGAACCACUGUUUACAGAGCACUCCCAAUGACCAGACACCGGUGACAAAAGGAAAAAGGAACACUUAACAUUGACUUUGACUCACAGUUUAUGGUCUUGAAGGUGGGACUUUUGGUGGCAAGGCAAUGCUUUCAGUGCCCAAGCAAAGAACCUGGCUCUCAGGAACUGGGACCACUAGCUGAGGGCUCCGUGGACCGCUGGGACUUGAGACCCUUCUCAUCUUCCCCAAGAGUCAGUGGGAUGGGGCUGCCGUCUCAGAGCUGACUCCAACAUGCCUGGCUUCUGGAAAUGUGCCUGGCUUAAGGCUGAACUGAAGGUAGGUCCCUCUUCCCUCCCCACAUCCUUUAUUUCUCUUACUUGAAAACACAUUCUGGGGGGUCGUCUAUUAAAUGCUUCCUUCCUCUCUUCUUCCUGGGUGGGGUAAAUGUACGUGGGAAAGAGAAUUCUAGAGCAGGAGUAAGGAAGCCUGGAUUUGCUGAUUCAUCUGGAUGUACAGCAGGCCGGAGGUACCCUGGAUGUACCCAGGACUAAAGAUCCCUGGAUGUGCACUUGAUUUAAGGAAACUUGCCCCUUUGCAUCGUUCUCAUGGUUUACAUGGCCUUGAAAAAGCAGAUUUGAGCAUUCUGUUUCUUACUGUGUAAAUGGCACCGCCCACCCUGCCUAACUCACUGGGUUCCUUGACACCAGAGAACCAUGAAAGUGCUUUGAAAAACAUGAGGCCUAAUGGAACGGAAGGUGGGAUUGGGAGCCACGUGGCUGAGCGGAGCUGGCAUGGGCUUGGAGUCACAGGUGGGGUGACCUGGCCCUCUGGUUUGCCUGGGACAGUCAUUGUUCACACUAGUGACCAUUCAGCUCUCAAAACUGAAAAGGAUGCGUCUAACUCACUUAUAAACCCAGUCCUUGGCAUCCUUGUCUAAUCUCGUUACAUCUUGGUUUCCUACUCUGAAAUACGCAGGUCCUAUGCGUGCAUUUAGAGACAGACUGUGAGUGUCAGAAGAGACUCCAGUGGAGAGCUCUUUGUAAAGUGGAAAUGAAAAUCACACAGAGGGUGUUGUCAUUAUCAUUAAGUCCUGGUGAUGUGAACCAGUAAGCCGUAUUUUGUGGGCACUCUAGAAUCCAGUUCUUUACCAAGGUCUGUCCCUUCCCUCUUUGGGACUCCUUUUUCCUCUGGCUGAAGAGGCCACUUGCUGUCUUUCCCUGGGUCCCAGUCAGCUUUUCUGAGAAACAGAAGAAUUGGAGUCUGAAUUUCCAAGAUGCCUCCCAGUGGUCACGUUCUGUGGUUUCAUGAUCCUGAAGAACGUUUGGCCUGCUGGUAUUGGCUGGUUGUUUUCUUAAGAACAAAGAAAGCCAGACAAACUAAACAUGAAAUACAACCCCAGCAAUGGAUUACACAGGCUUUGAAAGAGGCAUUAAGCAAGAAUGGUUAUGUCUAAUAUUGGGCCUUCUGGCCUUCCCAGGGCCUGGGAUCUGGCAUCAGAUGUCUGAACUUGAUAUACACCUGCAGGUACAGUUACGGCUGUUAAUCUGCCAAGCUCUGUUGUUCAAGCUGGCUGUUGGAAAGCAUUCAAUAAAUUUUUUUCAGAAGCCA